UACGUAGGCAGCAAGCGUUGUUCGGAGUUACUGGGCGUAAAGGGUGUGUAGGCGGUUGUUUAAGUUUUGUGUGAAAUCUCCCGGCUCAACCGGGAGGGUGCGCCGAAUACUGAAUAACUAGAGUGCGGGAGAGGAAAGUGGAAUUCCUGGUGUAGCGGUGAAAUGCGUAGAUAUCAGGAGGAACACCGGUGGUGUAGACGGCUUUCUGGACCGUAACUGACGCUGAGACACGAAAGCGUGGGUAGCAAACAGG
rnacentral:rRNA from 1 species